rnacentral:tRNA from 1 species
GUUGUUUUGACCGAGUGGUUAAGGCGGUUCCUGCCAAGUAGACGGGAGUUCGAAUCUCCCAGACGACA